ensembl:rRNA 5S_rRNA 5S ribosomal RNA
GUCUAUGGCUAUACCACCCUGAACGCACACGAUCUCGUCUGAUCUCAGAAGCUAAGCAGGGUCGGGCCUGGUUAGUAUUUGGUUGGGAGACUGACUGGGAAUACCGGGUGCUGCAGGCU